GACGAACGCUGGCGGCGUGCCUAAUACAUGCAAGUCGAACGAACCGCGACUAGGUGCUUGCACUUGGUCAAGGUGAGUGGCGAACGGGUGAGUAACACGUGGGUAACCUACCUCAUAGUGGGGGAUAACAGUCGGAAACGACUGCUAAUACCGCAUAGGACAUAGGAUCACAUGAUCCAGUGAGGAAAGGUGGCGCAAGCUAUCGCUAAGAGAUGGACCCGCGGUGCAUUAGCUAGUUUGUAGGGUAAAGGCCUACCAAGGCGAUGAUGCAUAGCCGACCUGAGAGGGUGAUCGGCCACAUGGGGACUGAGACAGGGCCCAAACUCCUACGGGAGGCAGCAGUAGGGAAUCUUCCGCAAUGGACGAAGGUCUGACGGAGCAACGCCGCGUGAGUGAAGAAGGUCUUCGGAUCGUAAAGCUCUGUUGUUAGAGAAGAACAGCGCAUAGAGUAACUGUUAUGCGUGUGACGGUAUCUAACCAGAAAGCCACGGCUAACUACGUG
rnacentral:rRNA from 1 species